rnacentral:tRNA from 1 species
GCAGCCGUAGCGAAAUUGGUUAUCGCACCGCCCUGUCACGGCGGGGAUUGCGGGUUCGAGUCCCGUCGGCUGCG